UUAACCUAUUUAACAAUUCAACCCAUCAAAUUAAAUGAGUUAUAGGUUGACCAACCCAUUUAACAAAAUGGGUUAAAUGGGUUGGUCAACCUAUAACUCAUUUAACCUAAACUCAUUUGAUUAUGAAU